GCUAGCGGCAGCUUAACACAUGCAAGUCGAACGGUAACUCUUAGUGCUUGCACUAAAAGACGAGUGGCGGACGGGUGCGUAACGCGUAUGUAAUCUACCUUUUACUAGGGAAUAGCCCAGAGAAAUUUGGAUUAAUCCCCUAUAAUAUCAAAAUUUCGCAUGAUUUUUUGAUUAAAGUUUCGACGGUAAAAGAUGAGCAUGCGUCCUAUUAGUUUGUAGGUGAGGUAACAGCUCACCUAGACUACGAUAGGUAGGGGCCCUGAGAGGGGGAUCCCCCACACUGGUACUGAGACACGGACCAGACUCCUACGGGAGGCAGCAGUGAGGAAUAUUGGACAAUGGACGAAAGUCUGAUCCAGCUAUGCCGCGUGCAGGAUGACAGCCCUACGGGUUGUAAACUGCUUUUAUACAGGAAGAAAAACUCCGACGUGUCGGGGCUUGACGGUACUGUAAGAAUAAGGAUCGGCUAACUCCGUGCCAGCAGCCGCGGUAAUACGGAGGAUCCAAGCGUUAUCCGGAAUUAUUGGGUUUAAAGGGUCCGCAGGCGGUUUUUUAAGUCAGAGGUGAAAUCCUACAGCUCAACUGUAGAAUUGCCUUUGAUACUGAAAGACUUGAGUUAUUGUGAAGUGGUUAGAAUGUGUGGUGUAGCGGUGAAAUGCAUAGAUAUCACACAGAAUACCAAUUGCGAAGGCAGAUCACUAACAAUUAACUGACGCUCAGGGACGAAAGCGUGGGUAGCGAACAGGAUUAGAUACCCUGGUAGUCCACGCCGUAAACGAUGGAUACUAGCUGUAUGUCUACCUCAGGUAGAUGUGUGGCCAAGCGAAAGUGAUAAGUAUCCCACCUGGGGAGUACGAU
rnacentral:rRNA from 1 species